rnacentral:rRNA from 1 species
GUAACUUCGGGAAAAGGUGCGCCCUGAUAGGUUGUAGCCCCUCGCGGGUGAAGGCUGAAAGGGUUGCAGUGAAAUGGUGGCUGCGACUGUUUAAUAAAAACACAGCACUCUGCAAACACGAAAGUGGACGUAUAGGGUGUGACGCCUGCCCGGUGCCGGAAGGUUAAGUGAUGGGGUGCAAGCUCUUGAUCGAAGCCCCGGUAAACGGCGGCCGUAACUAUAACGGUCCUAAGGUAGCGAAAUUCCUUGUCGGGUAAGUUCCGACCUGCACGAAUGGCGUAACGAUGGCCACACUGUCUCCUCCUGAGACUCAGCGAAGUUGAAGUGGUUGUGAAGAUGCAAUCUCCCCGCGGUUAGACGGAAAGACCCCAUGAACCUUUACUGUAGCUUUGCAUUGGACUUUGAACCGACUUGUGUAGGAUAGGUGGGAGGCUGUGAAACCGGGACGCUAGUCCGGGUGGAGCCAACCUUGAAAUACCACCCUGGUUUGUUUGAGGUUCUAACCACGGCCCGUGAAUCCGGGUCUGGGACCGUGCAUGGUAGGCAGUUUGACUGGGGCGGUCUCCUCCUAAAGGGUAACGGAGGAGUACGAAGGUACGCUAGGUACGGUCGGAAAUCGUGCUAAUAGUGCAAUGGCAAAAGCGUGCUUGACUGCGAGACCCACACGUCGAGCAGGUACGAAAGUAGGUCAUAGUGAUCCGGUGGUUCUGUAUGGAAGGGCCAUCGCUCAACGGAUAAAAGGUACUCUGGGGAUAACAGGCUAAUACCGCCCAAGAGUUCAUAUCGACGGCGGUGUUUGGCACCUCGAUGUCGGCUCAUCACAUCCUGGGGCUGUAGUCGGUCCCAAGGGUAUGGCUGUUCGCCAUUUAAAGUGGUACGUGAGCUGGGUUUAAAACGUCGUGAGACAGUUUGGUCCCUAUCUGCCGUGGGCGCUGGAAAUUUGAAGGGGGCUGCUCCUAGUACGAGAGGACCGGAGUGGACGAACCUCUGGUGUACCGGUUAUGACGCCAGUCGUAUCGCCGGGUAGCUAAGUUCGGAAGAGAUAAACGCUGAAAGCAUCUAAGCGUGAAACUCGCCUUAAGAUGAGAUUUCCCCGGGGACUCGAUCCCCCUGAAGGGUCGUGGUAGACCACCACGUUGAUAGGCUGGGUGUGGAAGCGCAGCAAUGCGUGCAGCUAACCAGUACUAAUUGCCCGUGAGGCUUGAUCCU